UCCCUGGUGGCUCAGAUGGUAAAGCGUCUGCCUGCAAUGCGGGAGAUCCAGGUUCGAUUCCUGGGUCGGGAA
rnacentral:tRNA from 1 species